CGCUUUAAGAUGGGCUCAUGUCUGAUUAGAUAGUUGGUGAGGUAACGGCUCACCAAGUCUACGAUCAGUAGCCGGACUGAGAGGUUGAACGGCCACAUUGGAACUGAGAUACGGUCCAGACUCCUACGGGAGGCAGCAGUGGGGAAUAUUGGGCAAUGGGCGAAAGCCUGACCCAGCAACGCCGCGUGAAGGAAGAAGGUCUUCGGAUUGUAAACUUCUUUUGUAAGGGACGAAAAAUGACGGUACCUUAAGAACAAGCCACGGCUAACUACGUGCCAGCAGCCGCGGUAAUACGUAGGUGGCAAGCGUUAUCCGGAUUUACUGGGCGUAAAGGGAGUGUAGGCGGAUUAGUAAGAUAGUGGUGAAAUACCUGAGCUCAACUUAGGAAUUGCCAUUAUAACUAUUGAUCUAGAGUGAUAGAGAGGAUAUUGGAAUACCCAGUGUAGAGGUGAAAUUCGUAGAUAUUGGGUAGAACACCGGUGGCGAAGGCGAGUAUCUGGCUAUCAACUGACGCUGAGGCUCGAAAGCAUGGGGAUCAAACAGGAUUAGAUACCCUGGUAGUCCAUGCUGUAAACGAUGAAUGCUAGUUGUCGGCGACAAGUCGGUGACGAAGUUAACGCGAUAAGCAUUCCGCCUGGGGAGUACGGUCGCAAGAUUAAAACUCAAAGGAAUUGACGGGGACCCGCACAAGCGGUGGAGCAUGUGGUUUAAUUCGAUGCAACGCGAAGAACCUUACCAACUCUUGACAUCCUUAUCGGGGAGAUGAGAGAUUAUUUCCUUCUGUUAGGCUGGAUAAGUGACAGAUGCUGCAUGGCUGUCGUCAGCUCGUGUCGUGAGAUGUUGGGUUAAGUCCCGCAACGAGCGCAACCCCUGCUACCAGUUGCCAGCGAGUAAAGUUGGGCACUCUGGUGGGACUGCCGGUGACAAGCCGGAGGAAGGUGGGGAUGACGUCAAGUCAUCAUGGCUCUUACGAGUUGGGCUACACACGUGCUACAAUGGCAACUACAGAGAGGAGCGAAGCUGUGGGGCGGAGCUAAUCUUAAAAAGUUGUCUCAGUUCGGAUUGUUCUCUGCAACUCGAGAACAUGAAGUUGGAAUCGCUAGUAAUCGCAGAACAGCAUGCCGCGGUGAAUACGUUCCCGGG
rnacentral:rRNA from 1 species